AUAGUAUCAGAAAAUGAACUUUAGUAUUUUUCCUAUGUUCUUCUCAUUCUAUGGAACCUAUACAAAAAUUUUCAUAAUUUUUGGAUCAGCACAUGAUUUUUUUUACACAAAAUUAAAUAUAAAGCAAAAACUGCAUAAAAGAAAAAAAAAACCACUGAGCAGCGAGCGGCCGGGAAAUCGGCCCGCAGGCCGGCCCGCUUCCGCUCGGCCCACGCGGGCGCUGCGCGCGCUCUCUCCCCCUC
rnacentral:lncRNA from 1 species